AACGAACGCUGGCGGCAUGCCUAACACAUGCAAGUCGAACGAGACCUUCGGGUCUAGUGGCGCACGGGUGCGUAACGCGUGGGAACCUGCCUUUAGGUUCGGAAUAACUCAGAGAAAUUUGAGCUAAUACCGGAUGAUGUCUUCGGACCAAAGAUUUAUCGCCUUUAGAUGGGCCCGCGUUGGAUUAGCUAGUUGGUGGGGUAAAGGCCUACCAAGGCGACGAUCCAUAGCUGGUCUGAGAGGAUGAUCAGCCACACUGGGACUGAGACACGGCCCAGACUCCUACGGGAAGCAGCAGUGGGGAAUAUUGGACAAUGGGCGAAAGCCUGAUCCAGCAAUGCCGCGCGAGUGAUGAAGGCCUUAGGGUUGUAAAGCUCUUUUACCCGAGAUGAUAAUGACAGUAUCGGGAGAAUAAGCUCCGGCUAACUCCGUG
rnacentral:rRNA from 1 species